rnacentral:rRNA from 1 species
AGAGUUUGAUCCUGGCUCAGAACGAACGCUGGCGGCGUGGAUAAGACAUGCAAGUCGAACGGGACCAGGUUGGUAGUAAUACUAGCUUGGUUCAGUGGCGCACGGGUGCGUAACACGUGAGCAAUCUGCCGGGAAGUGGGGGAUAGCUCGCCGAAAGGCGAAUUAAUACCGCAUGUGGCCAUUCUUCGAGUGGAGGAAAAGCCAAAGCAGCAAUGCGCUUCCUGAUGAGCUCGCGGCCUAUCAGCUAGAUGGCGGGGUAAUGGCCCACCAUGGCUUUAACGGGUAGCUGGUCUGAGAGGACGACCAGCCACACUGGAACUGAGAUACGGUCCAGACACCUACGGGUGGCAGCAGUCGAGAAUUUUUCACAAUGGGGGCAACCCUGAUGGAGCGACGCCGCGUGGAGGAUGAAGGCCUUCGGGUUGUAAACUCCUGUCAUGCGGGAACAAGCAAGUGAUAGUACCGCAAGAGGAAGAGACGGCUAACUCUGCGCCAGCAGCCGCGGUAAUACAGAGGUCUCAAGCGUUGUUCGGAUUCAUUGGGCGUAAAGGGUGCGUAGGUGGUGGCGCAAGUCUGGUGUGAAAUCUCGGAGCUCAACUCCGAAAUUGCACCGGAUACUGCGUGACUCGAGGACUGUAGAGGAGAUCGGAAUUCACGGUGUAGCAGUGAAAUGCGUAGAUAUCGUGAGGAAGACCAGUUGCGAAGGCGGAUCUCUGGGCAGUUCCUGACACUGAGGCACGAAGGCCAGGGGACCAAACGGGAUUAGAUACCCCGGUAGUCCUGGCAGUAACGGUGCACGUUUGGUGUGGGCGGGUUCAGACCCCGUCCGUGCCCGGAGCUAACGCGUUAAACGUGCCGCCUGGGAAGUACGGUCGCAAGAUUA